CCUACGGGAGGCAGCAGUGGGGAAUAUUGCGCAAUGGGCACAAGCCUGACGCAGCGACGCCGCGUGAGGGAUGAAGGUCUUCGGAUCGUAAACCUCUGUCAGCCGGGAAGCACGGUCCCUGUGCUAUUCAGCAGUGAAUUGACGGUACCUACAAAGGCAGCCCCGGCUAACUCCGUGCCAGCAGCCGCGGGAAUGCGGAGGGUGCGAGCGUUAAUCGGAAUUACUGGGCGUAAAGCGAUCGUACGCGGGAUGUCAAGUCCAGGGUGAAAUCCCCGCGCUCAACGUGGGAACUGCCUUUGAAACUGGCAAACUGGAGUGUGUGAGAGGAGAGUGGAAUUCCAGGUGUAGGAGUGAAAUCCGUAGAUAUCUGGAAGAACAUCAGUGGCGAAGGCGACUAUCUGGCACAUAACUGACGCUGAUGAGCGAAAGCGUGGGUAGCGAACAGGAUUAGAUACCCGGGUAGUC
rnacentral:rRNA from 1 species